rnacentral:tRNA from 1 species
GAUCCCGUAGCUCAGCUGGUAGAGCAACUGACUUUUAAUCAGUAGGUCACGCGUUCAAAUCGCGUCGGGAUCA